GGAAUCUGGGAGGACCAUCUCCUAAGGCUAAAUACUCUCUAGUGACCGAUAGUGAACCAGUACCGUGAGGGAAAGGUGAAAAGCACCCCGGAAGGGGAGUGAAAUAGAACCUGAAACCGUGUGCUUACAAGUAGUCAGAGCCCGUUAAUGGGUGAUGGCGUGCCUUUUGUAGAAUGAACCGGCGAGUUACGAUUUGAUGCAAGGUUAAGCAGUAAAUGUGGAGCCGUAGCGAAAGCGAGUCUGAAUAGGGCGUUUAGUAUUUGGUCGUAGACCCGAAACCAGGUGAUCUACCCUUGGUCAGGUUGAAGUUCAGGUAACACUGAAUGGAGGACCGAACCGACUUACGUUGAAAAGUGAGCGGAUGAACUGAGGGUAGCGGAGAAAUUCCAAUCGAACCUGGAGAUAGCUGGUUCUCUCCGAAAUAGCUUUAGGGCUAGCCUCAAGUGAUGAUUAUUGGAGGUAGAGCACUGUUUGGACGAGGGGCCCCUCUCGGGUUACCGAAUUCAGACAAACUCCGAAUGCCAAUUAAUUUAACUUGGGAGUCAGAACAUGGGUGAUAAGGUCCGUGUUCGAAAGGGAAACAGCCCAGACCACCAGCUAAGGUCCCAAAAUAUAUGUUAAGUGGAAAAGGAUGUGGCGUUGCCCAGACAACUAGGAUGUUGGCUUAGAAGCAGCCAUCAUUUAAAGAGUGCGUAAUAGCUCACUAGUCGAGUGACACUGCGCCGAAAAUGUACCGGGGCUAAACAUAUUACCGAAGCUGUGGAUUGUCCUUUGGACAAUGGUAGGAGAGCGUUCUAAGGGCGUUGAAGCAUGAUCGUAAGGACAUGUGGAGCGCUUAGAAGUGAGAAUGCCGGUGUGAGUAGCGAAAGACGGGUGAGAAUCCCGUCCACCGAUUGACUAAGGUUUCCAGAGGAAGGCUCGUCCGCUCUGGGUUAGUCGGGUCCUAAGCUGAGGCCGACAGGCGUAGGCGAUGGAUAACAGGUUGAUAUUCCUGUACCACCUAUAAUCGUUUUAAUCGAUGGGGGGACGCAGUAGGAUAGGCGAAGCGUGCGAUUGGAUUGCACGUCUAAGCAGUAAGGCUGAGUAUUAGGCAAAUCCGGUACUCGUUAAGGCUGAGCUGUGAUGGGGAGAAGACAUUGUGUCUUCGAGUCGUUGAUUUCACACUGCCGAGAAAAGCCUCUAGAUAGAAAAUAGGUGCCCGUACCGCAAACCGACACAGGUAGUCAAGAUGAGAAUUCUAAGGUGAGCGAGCGAACUCUCGUUAAGGAACUCGGCAAAAUGACCCCGUAACUUCGGGAGAAGGGGUGCUCUUUAGGGUUAACGCCCAGAAGAGCCGCAGUGAAUAGGCCCAAGCGACUGUUUAUCAAAAACACAGGUCUCUGCUAAACCGUAAGGUGAUGUAUAGGGGCUGACGCCUGCCCGGUGCUGGAAGGUUAAGAGGAGUGGUUAGCUUCUGCGAAGCUACGAAUCGAAGCCCCAGUAAACGGCGGCCGUAACUAUAACGGUCCUAAGGUAGCGAAAUUCCUUGUCGGGUAAGUUCCGACCCGCACGAAAGGCGUAACGAUUUGGGCACUGUCUCAACGAGAGACUCGGUGAAAUCAUAGUACCUGUGAAGAUGCAGGUUACCCGCGACAGGACGGAAAGACCCCGUGGAGCUUUACUGUAGCCUGAUAUUGAAAUUCGGCACAGCUUGUACAGGAUAGGUAGGAGCCUUUGAAACGUGAGCGCUAGCUUACGUGGAGGCGCUGGUGGGAUACUACCCUAGCUGUGUUGGCUUUCUAACCCGCACCACUUAUCGUGGUGGGAGACAGUGUCAAGCGGGCAGUUUGACUGGGGCGGUCGCCUCCUAAAAGGUAACGGAGGCGCUCAAAGGUUCCCUCAGAAUGGUUGGAAAUCAUUCAUAGAGUGCAAAGGCAUAAGGGAGCUUGACUGCGAGACCUACAAGUCGAGCAGGGUCGAAAGACGGACUUAGUGAUCCGGUGGUUCCGCAUGGAAGGGCCAUCGCUCAACGGAUAAAAGCUACCCCGGGGAUAACAGGCUUAUCUCCCCCAAGAGUUCACAUCGACGGGGAGGUUUGGCACCUCGAUGUCGGCUCAUCGCAUCCUGGGGCUGUAGUCGGUCCCAAGGGUUGGGCUGUUCGCCCAUUAAAGCGGUACGCGAGCUGGGUUCAGAACGUCGUGAGACAGUUCGGUCCCUAUCCGUCGUGGGCGUAGGAAAUUUGAGAGGAGCUGUCCUUAGUACGAGAGGACCGGGAUGGACAUACCUCUGGUGUACCAGUUGUCGUGCCAACGGCAUAGCUGGGUAGCUAUGUGUGGACGGGAUAAGUGCUGAAAGCAUCUAAGCAUGAAGCCCCCCUCAAGAUGAGAUUUCCCAACUUCGGUUAUAAGAUCCCUCAAAGAUGAUGAGGUUAAUAGGUUCGAGGUGGAAGCAUGGUGACAUGUGGAGCUGACGAAUACUAAUCGAUCGAAGACUUAAUCAA
rnacentral:rRNA from 1 species